UGGGGAAUCUUCCGCAAUGGACGAAAGUCUGACGGAGCAACGCCGCGUGUAUGAUGAAGGUCUUCGGAUUGUAAAGUACUGUCAUUGGGGAAGAACGGUUUUCUUGAAAAGAUUGAGAAGACAUGACGGUACCCAAGGAGGAAGCCCCGGCUAACUACGUGCCAGCAGCCGCGGUAAUACGUAGGGGGCAAGCGUUGUCCGGAAUUAUUGGGCGUAAAGGGCGCGUAGGCGGGCCUUUAAGUCCGGUGUGAAAGAUCAGGGCUCAACCCUGAGAGUGCAUCGGAAACUGGAGGCCUUGAGGACAGGAGAGGAAAGUGGAAUUCCACGUGUAGCGGUGAAAUGCGUAGAUAUGUGGAGGAACACCAGUGGCGAAGGCGACUUUCUGGACUGUAACUGACGCUGAGGCGCGAAAGCGUGGGGAGCAAACAGGAUUAGAUACCCUGGUAGUCCACGCCGUAAACGAUGAGUGCUAGGUGUAGAGGGUAUCGACCCCCUU
rnacentral:rRNA from 1 species